GUAGUGCGGCCCACACCCUUAAUUUUCUAGGCGAAACUGCCCGCAUGCCCCGCUCAUCUUGUUCAAACUGCUUCUCCCCCCAUUUUCAAAAUCGCUCUGUUUUCUCCGUCCCUCUUGCGACGACGGCCAGCGCGGGGCUGCGUUCGUGGCUUCACCGAGGAUUCGUCGGCGGGGAGGCCGUCCAUGGGCGCGCCGCGGUGGCGGAUAUUGGCGGAGAAUGGCCCGAAAAAGCAAGAGGAUUGCGGGAAGGACUGAUGGCGAAGCUGGAAAUGAGGGAAACGAGGAGCUGGUCCAAACGACAAGCAAUGGUCGAGGAGUAGCGACAUGGGUGGUCGGAACAUGAGCAGUAUUAGAGCCAAUGUCGAGGUCUGGGGACUCACCAACACCCUCCUCCCAACGGAUAUCUUGCUGAUCAUAUGUUGUAUUUAAGAAGGGCGCACCCAACUCAACCAAAAUGUUGACAGACUCUACGUCAGCAGGAGGGUGACAACUAUUAUUGAAGUGGGGAAAAUGCACAUAUGUUAGGUAGAUCUUGGCGCGAGCAGAAGACCUUUUCAUAGUAGUGUAGAUUGUCUGGAUUAGGCAGAUCUUCUCUGCAACGCUGUUACUUUUAUUUUAUUUUAUGAGAGGAUGCAUAUGUACUGGACUAGUUUUUCAAUGCUUUUUGUGUG